AUUGAACGCUGGCGGCAUGCCUUACACAUGCAAGUCGAACGGCAGCACGGGUGCUUGCACCUGGUGGCGAGUGGCGAACGGGUGAGUAAUACAUCGGAACAUGUCCUGUAGUGGGGGAUAGCCCGGCGAAAGCCGGAUUAAUACCGCAUACGAUCUACGGAUGAAAGCGGGGGACCUUCGGGCCUCGCGCUAUAGGGUUGGCCGAUGGCUGAUUAGCUAGUUGGUGGGGUAAAGGCCUACCAAGGCGACGAUCAGUAGCUGGUCUGAGAGGACGACCAGCCACACUGGAACUGAGACACGGCCCAGACUCCUACGGGAGGCAGCAGUGGGGAAUUUUGGACAAUGGGCGAAAGCCUGAUCCAGCAAUGCCGCGUGUGGGAAGAAGGCCUUCGGGUUGUAAAGCACUUUUGUCCGGAAAGAAAUCCUUGGCCCUAAUACGGUCGGGGGAUGACGGUACCGGAAGAAUAAGCACCGGCUAACUACGUG
rnacentral:rRNA from 1 species